rnacentral:lncRNA from 1 species
CCACCCUCAAUCGCGACUACACCCGACAGUUCGGAACAGUCUACACACUACUGUAAAAGAAACUCAGCAUCCCAGCACGAGCGUAAACUCAUCCUAUACUAAUCUGGGUAUCCAUCGCAUACUAACAACGACAAUACAAAAGAACCACAGUUCCUAAAGCUAAAUCUGAUAAUUUUCAGAAAGUGACAGUGUAGAAUCUAAAUGUUUUCUCCUAAGUCAAUUCCAAAUCUAACAUGUA